rnacentral:rRNA from 1 species
AUUGAACGCUGGCGGCAUGCUUUACACAUGCAAGUCGAACGGUAACAGGCCGCAAGGUGCUGACGAGUGGCGAACGGGUGAGUAAUGCAUCGGAACGUGCCCAGUCGUGGGGGAUAACGCAGCGAAAGCUGCGCUAAUACCGCAUACGAUCUAUGGAUGAAAGCGGGGGACCGUAAGGCCUCGCGCGAUUGGAGCGGCCGAUGUCAGAUUAGGUAGUUGGUGAGGUAAAGGCUCACCAAGCCAACGAUCUGUAGCUGGUGUGAGAGGACGACCAGCCACACUGGGAAUGAGACAGGGCCCAGACUCCUACGGGAGGCAGCAGUGGGGAAUUUUGGACAAUGGGCGCAAGCCUGAUCCAGCAAUGCCGCGUGCAGGAAGAAGGCCUUCGGGUUGUAAACUGCUUUUGUACGGAACGAAACGGCUCUCACUAAUACUGGGGGCUAAUGACGGUACCGUAAGAAUAAGCACCGGCUAACUACGUGCCAGCCGCCGCCGUAAAAC